rnacentral:rRNA from 1 species
CAGCAGCCGCGGUAAUACGUAGGUGGCAAGCGUUGUCCGGAAUUAUUGGGCGUAAAGGGCUCGCAGGCGGUUUCUUAAGUCUGAUGUGAAAGCCCCCGGCUCAACCGGGGAGGGUCAUUGGAAACUGGGAAACUUGAGUGCAGAAGAGGAGAGUGGAACUCCACGUGUAGCGGUGAAAUGCGUAGAGAUGUGGAGGAACACCAGUGGCGAAGGCGACUCUCUGGUCUGUAACUGACGCUGAGGAGCGAAAGCGUGGGGAGCGAACAGGAUUAGAUACCCCGGUAGUCCCUGUCUCUUAUAC